rnacentral:rRNA from 1 species
GAUGAACGCUAGCGGCAGGCUUAACACAUGCAAGUCGAGGGGCAGCACGGGUAGCAAUACCUGGUGGCGACCGGCGCAAGGGUGCGUAACGCGUGAGCAACAUGCCCUAUACAGGGGGAUAAUCCAGGGAAACUUGGUCUAAUAUCCCAUAGUAUUUAGAGGAGGCAUCUUCUAUAAAUUAAAGCUUCGGUGGUAUAGGAUUGGCUCGCGUGACAUUAGCUAGAUGGUGAGGUAACGGCUCACCAUGGCAAUGAUGUCUAGGAGUUCUGAGAGGAAGGCCCCCCACACUGGGACUGAGACACGGCCCAGACUCCUACGGGAGGCAGCAGUGAGGAAUAUUGGACAAUGGAUGGAAAUCUGAUCCAGCCAUGCCGCGUGCAGGAAGACAGCCCUAUGGGUUGUAAACUGCUUUUAUAUGGGAGCAAUAAGGUCUACGUGUAGACUGAUGAGAGUACCAUAUGAAUAAG